rnacentral:tRNA from 1 species
CCACGCCGAGGCCGGCGGCGACCAGAUCGCGGAUGCUUGCCGGGGUGGCCGUCUCGAACGGGACGUGCGGUUCGAAGCCGGCGGCGUGGGC